AGUGAACGCUGGCGGUAGGCCUAACACAUGCAAGUCGAACGGCAGCACAGUAAGAGCUUGCUCUUACGGGUGGCGAGUGUCGGACGGGUGAGGAAUACAUCGGAAUCUACUUUUUCGUGGGGGAUAACGUAGGGAAACUUACGCUCAUACCGCAUACGACCUACGGGUGAAAGCAGGGGAUCUUCGGACCUUGCGCGAUCGAAUGAGCCGAUGUCGGAUUAGCUAGUUGGCGGGGUAAAGGCCCACCAAGGCGACGAUCCGUAGCUGGUCUGAGAGGAUGAUCAGCCACACUGGAACUGAGACACGGUCCAGACUCCUACGGGAGGCAGCAGUGGGGAAUAUUGGACAAUGGGAGCAAGACUGAUACAGCCAUACCGCGUGGGUGAAGAAGGCCUUCGGGUUGUAAAGCCCUUUUGUUGGGAAAGAAAAGCAGCAGGUUAAUACCCCGCUGUUCUGACGGUACCCAAAGAAUAAGCACCGGCUAAAUUCGUG
rnacentral:rRNA from 1 species